UACGUAGGGGGCAAGCGUUGUCCGGAUUCAUUGGGCGUAAAGAGCUCGUAGGCGGUUCAGUAAGUCGGGUGUGAAAGCUCCGAGCUCAACUCGGAGAGGCCACCCGAUACUGCUGUGACUUGAGUCCAGUAGAGGAGCGUGGAAUUCCCAGUGUAGUGGUGAAAUACGUAGAGAUUGGGAAGAACACCAGUGGCGAAGGCGGCUAUCUGGACGGUUUCUGACGCUAAGACGCGAAAGCGUGGGGAGCAAACAGG
rnacentral:rRNA from 1 species